rnacentral:rRNA from 1 species
UAUAGGUUUGGUCCCAGCCUUCCUAUUAACCCUUAAUAGA